rnacentral:rRNA from 1 species
UACGGAGGGUGCAAGCGUUAAUCGGAAUUACUGGGCGUAAAGCGUGCGUAGGCGGUUAUUUAAGUCUGUUGUGAAAUCCCCGGGCUCAACCUGGGAAUGGCAAUGGAUACUGGAUAGCUAGAGUGUGAUAGAGGAUGGUGGAAUUCCCGGUGUAGCGGUGAAAUGCGUAGAGAUCGGAAAGAACACCAACGGCGAAAGCACUCUGCUGGGCCGACACUGACACUGAGAGACGAAAGCUAGGGGAGCGAAUGGG